rnacentral:lncRNA from 1 species
UCUGUGAUUGACACUGCCUUUUCUCUCCACUGGUCUUACAGAAAUAGGAAAGGGUCACAAUUUACUCUGGUUACAUCGCAGGGAUUGUGGACUUCUGGAAACCUCUACUGAACUAGAAAGAAAGUUCUCUCUAGUUAAGGAAGGCAAGAUGGCAGGAGGCCCCUUGGUGAUGGGAACAUGUGGCUGGGACUCUUCACCUCUAAACAUUAUAGUGAAACAGAAAGAAGAGAAAGGGCUCAUACUUCUCGAUUAAGGUAAAUCCUUAAACAUUUGACUAUUGUUUUGAGAAGUGGUUGCCGUGCUAUCAUUAAUGUGUG